CACCCCUUCUCGGCCUCUUGGCUAAGAUCAAUUUGUAGUACCUGUUCUUAUCAGCGUGAUAGCUGAUAUGGUCUCAAUAGAGACCUUAUCAAUUUCACAUAAAUUUUUGAUAGGGGAAAGGAUAAUUUGAAGCUUGCUUCUUAUAACCUUUCGCGCGUUGCCUUACCCUUGCACAAAAGGUUUGUACAGUGCACCCUUACA
rnacentral:snRNA from 1 species